GCAGCCGCCGCGGGAAUACGGAGGAUCCAAGCGUUAUCCGGAAUCAUUGGGUUUAAAGGGUCCGUAGGCGGUCUUGUAAGUCAGUGGUGAAAGCCCAUCGCUCAACGGUGGAACGGCCAUUGAUACUGCAGGACUUGAAUUAUUGGGAAGUAACUAGAAUAUGUAGUGUAGCGGUGAAAUGCUUAGAGAUUACAUGGAAUACCAAUUGCGAAGGCAGGUUACUACCAAUUGAUUGACGCUGAUGGACGAAAGCGUGGGUAGCGAACAGGAUUAGAUACCCCCGUAGUCCCUGUCUCUUAUAC
rnacentral:rRNA from 1 species